rnacentral:rRNA from 1 species
GACGAACGCUGGCGGCGUGCUUAACACAUGCAAGUCGAACGAAGUGGCGAACGGGUGAGUAAUACGUGGGUAACCUGACCUCCUUUUUGGGAUAAGCCUUGGAAACGGGGUCUAAUACCGAAUAAAGGGGGAUGGGCUCGCGGCCUAUCAGCUUGUUGGGGGGGUGAUGGCCUACCAAGGCGGUGACGGGUAGCCUGCCUGAGAGGCUGACCGGCGACAUUGGGACUGCGAUACGGCCCAGCCUCCUACGGGAGGCAGCAGUGGGGGAUAUUGCACAAUGGGCGAAAGCCUCAUGCAGCGACGCCGCGUGGGGGAUGAGGGCUUUCGGGUUGUAAACCUCUUUCGCUAUCUGACGGGUAGGUGGAGAAGAAGCGCCGGCUAACUACGUGCCAGCCGCCGCGGUAAUUC